rnacentral:rRNA from 1 species
GACGAACGCUGGCGGCGUGCUUAACACAUGCAAGUCGAACGGAAAGGCCCUGCUUUUGUGGGGUGCUCGAGUGGCGAACGGGUGAGUAACACGUGAGUAACCUGCCCUUGACUUUGGGGUAACUUCAGGAAACUGGGGCUAAUACCGGAUAGGAGCUCCUGCUGCAUGGAGGGGGUUGGAAAGUUUCGGCGGUUGGGGAUGGACUCGCGGCUUAUCAGCUUGUUGGUGGGGUAGUGGCUUACCAAGGCUUUGACGGGUAGCCGGCCUGAGAGGGUGACCGGCCACAUUGGUACUGAGAUACGGCCCAGACUCCUACGGGAGGCAGCAGUGGGGAAUAUUGCACAAUGGGCGGAAGCCUGAUGCAGCAACGCCGCGUGCGUGAUGACGGCCUGCGGGUUGUAAACCGCUUUCGCCUGUGACGAAGCGUGAGUGACGGUAAUGGGUAAAGAAGCACCGGCUAACUACGUG